GACGUACCACCCGAACGUUAUUCGGAUUCACUGGGCUUACAGAGUCCGUAGGCGGUCAAGAAAGUUAGGCGUGAAAUCCCUCAGCUCAACUGAGGAAUAGCGCUUAAAACUACUUGGUUAGAGAGAGUCAGAGGUGAGCGGAACUGAUGGUGGAGCGGUGAAAUGCGCAGAUAUCAGGAGGAACACCGGUGGCGAAGGCGGGUCUCUGGGCCGAUACCGACGCUGAGGAGCGAAAGCGUGGGGAGCGAACAGG
rnacentral:rRNA from 1 species